UACGUAGGGGGCAAGCGUUACUCGGAUUCACUGGGCGUAAAGCGCGUGUAGGCGGCUGGUCAAGCGUGAUGUGAAAUCUCCGGGCUCAACCCGGAAACUGCAUCGCGAACUGGCCUGGCUGGAGUGCAGGAGAGGGUAGUGGAAUUCCCGGUGUAGCGGUGAAAUGCGUAGAUAUCGGGGAGGAACACCAGUGGCGAAGGCGACUACCUGGCCGUGUAACUGACGCUGAGACGCGAAAGCGUGGGGAGCAAACCGG
rnacentral:rRNA from 1 species